UACGUAGGGUGCGAGCGUUGUCCGGAAUUAUUGGGCGUAAAGAGCUUGUAGGCGGUUUGUCGCGUCUGCCGUGAAAUUUCGAGGCUCAACCUCGAACUUGCGGUGGGUACGGGCAGACUAGAGUGUGGUAGGGGAGACUGGAAUUCCUGGUGUAGCGGUGAAAUGCGUAGAUAUCAGGAGGAACACCGGUGGUGUAGACGGCUCUCUGGACCGUAACUGACGCUGAGGCACGAAAGCGUGGGUAGCAAACAGG
rnacentral:rRNA from 1 species